CCUACGGGUGGCAGCAGUGGGGAAUUUUGGACAAUGGGGGCAACCCUGAUCCAGCAAUGCCGCGUGUGUGAAGAAGGCCUUCGGGUUGUAAAGCACUUUUGUCCGGAAAGAAAACUUCGUCCCUAAUAUGGAUGGAGGAUGACGGUACCGGAAGAAUAAGCACCGGCUAACUACGUGCCAGCAGCCGCGGUAAUACGUAGGGUGCGAGCGUUAAUCGGAAUUACUGGGCGUAAAGCGUGCGCAGGCGGUUCGCUAAGACCGAUGUGAAAUCCCCGGGCUUAACCUGGGAACUGCAUUGGUGACUGGCGGGCUAGAGUAUGGCAGAGGGGGGUAGAAUUCCACGUGUAGCAGUGAAAUGCGUAGAGAUGUGGAGGAAUACCGAUGGCGAAGGCAGCCCCCUAGGCCAAUACUGACGCUCAUGCACGAAAGCGUGGGGAGCAAACAGGAUUAGAUACCCUUGUAGUC
rnacentral:rRNA from 1 species